UGGGGAAUAUUGGACAAUGGGCGCAAGCCUGAUCCAGCCAUGCCGCGUGUGUGAAGAAGGCCUUAUGGUUGUAAAGCACUUUAAGCGAGGAGGAGGCUACUUUAGUUAAUACCUAGAGAUAGUGGACGUUACUCGCAGAAUAAGCACCGGCUAACUCUGUGCCAGCAGCCGCGGUAAUACAGAGGGUGCAAGCGUUAAUCGGAUUUACUGGGCGUAAAGCGCGCGUAGGCGGCUAAUUGAGUCGGAUGUGAAAUCCCCGAGCUUAACUUGGGAAUUGCAUUCGAUACUGGUUAGCUAGAGUGUGGGAGAGGAUGGUAGAAUUCCAGGUGUAGCGGUGAAAUGCGUAGAGAUCUGGAGGAAUACCGAUGGCGAAGGCAGCCAUCUGGCCUAACACUGACGCUGAGGUACGAAAGCAUGGGGAGCAAACAGG
rnacentral:rRNA from 1 species